CAGCAGCCGCGGUAAAACCAGCACCUCGAGUGGUCAGGAGGUUUAUUGGGCCUAAAGCAUCCGUAGCCGGUUGCAUAAGUUUUCGGUUAAAUCUAUGCGCUUAACGUAUAGGCCGCCGAAAAUACUGUGCAGCUAGGGAGUGGGAGAGGUACACGGUACUCGAUAGGAAGGGGUAAAAUCCUUUGAUCUAUUGAUGACCACCUGUGGCGAAGGCGGUGUACCAGAACACGUUCGACGGUGAGGGAUGAAAGCUGGGGGAGCAAACCGGAUUAGAUACCCCCGUAGUCCCUGUCUCUUAUAA
rnacentral:rRNA from 1 species